GACGAACGCUGGCGGCGUGCUUAACACAUGCAAGUCGAACGGAAAGGCCCUGCUUUUGUGGGGUGCUCGAGUGGCGAACGGGUGAGUAACACGUGAGUAACCUUCCCUUGACUUUGGGAUAACUUCAGGAAACUGGGGCUAAUACCGGAUAGGAGCUCCUGCUGCAUGGUGGGGGUUGGAAAGUUUCGGCGGUUGGGGAUGGACUCGCGGCUUAUCAGCUUGUUGGUGGGGUAGUGGCUUACCAAGGCUUUGACGGGUAGCCGGCCUGAGAGGGUGACCGGCCACAUUGGGACUGAGAUACGGCGCAGACUCCUACGGGAGGCAGCAGUGGGGAAUAUUGCACAAUGGGCGGAAGCCUGAUGCAGAAACGCCGCGUGCGGGAUGAAGGCCUUCGGGUUGUAAACCGCUUUCGCCUGUGACGAAGCGUGAGUGACGGUAAUGGGUAAAGAAGCACCGGCUAACUACGUG
rnacentral:rRNA from 1 species